rnacentral:pre_miRNA from 1 species
GCACUCCGGUGAAGGAAGGCAGGUUUAUUGCAGAAACCUGCGAGAUUCGUACGCGUUACAGGAAUCAAUUCCUUAAUCAUGAGCCUUAUGAUUAAGGGAUUGAUUCUCGAAACGCGUUAAGUGUACGAAUCUCGCAGGUUACUGUAAUAAACCCGCCUUCUUUCACCGGAGUGC